rnacentral:rRNA from 2 species
AAAUUGAAGAGUUUGAUCAUGGCUCAGAUUGAACGCUGGCGGCAGGCCUAACACAUGCAAGUCGAACGGUAACAGGAAGCAGCUUGCUGCUUUGCUGACGAGUGGCGGACGGGUGAGUAAUGUCUGGGAAACUGCCUGAUGGAGGGGGAUAACUACUGGAAACGGUAGCUAAUACCGCAUAACGUCGCAAGACCAAAGAGGGGGACCUUCGGGCCUCUUGCCAUCGGAUGUGCCCAGAUGGGAUUAGCUAGUAGGUGGGGUAACGGCUCACCUAGGCGACGAUCCCUAGCUGGUCUGAGAGGAUGACCAGCCACACUGGAACUGAGACACGGUCCAGACUC